CGGGACGGGGUGGAGUAAUGUCUGGGAAACUGCCCGAUGGAGGGGGAUAACUACUGGAAACGGUAGCUAAUACCGCAUAAUGUCUACGGACCAAAGCGGGGGACCUCCGGGCCUCGCGCCAUCAGAUGAACCCAUAUGGGAUUAGCUAGUAGGUGGGGUAACGGCUCACCUAGGCGACGAUCCCUAGCUGGUCUGAGAGGAUGAUCAGCCACACUGGGACUGAGACACGGCCCAG
rnacentral:rRNA from 1 species